GCCUGGCUAGCUCAGUUGGUAGAGCAUCAGACUUUUAAUCUGAUGGUCCAGGGUUCAAAUUCCUGGUCAGGUG